rnacentral:rRNA from 1 species
GAGGCUCGAAGGCUAGGGUAGCGAAAGGGAUUAGAUACCCCCUGUAGUCCUAGCAGUAAACGAUGUGCGCUUGGUGUGGGAGGGUUCGACCCCUUCUGUGCCGGAGCUAACGCGUUAAGCGCACCGCCUGGGGAGUACGGUCGCAAGACUAAAACUCAAAGAAAUUGACGGGGACCCGCACAAGCGGUGGAGUAUGUGGCUUAAUUCGAUGCAACGCGAAGAACCUUACCCAGACUUGACAUGUAUUGCUAAUCUGCUGAAAGGCAGUGACCCUUCGGGGACCUUACACAGGUGCUGCAUGGCCGUCGUCAGCUCGUGUCGUGAGAUGUUCGGUUAAGUCCGGCAACGAGCGCAACCCCUGUGGCUAGUUACUAACAUUUAGUUGAGGACUUUAGCCAGACUGCCCAGAUCAACUGGGAGGAAGGUGGGGAUGACGUCAGGUCAGUAUGGCCCUUACGUCUGGGGCUGCACACGUACUACAAUGCCCAGUACAAUGAGAACCGAGACCGCGAGGUGGAGGAAAUCUACAAAACUGGGCUCAGUUCGGAUUGGAGGCUGCAACUCGCCUCCAUGAAGUUGGAAUCGCUAGUAAUGGCACAUCAGCUACGGUGCCGUGAAUACGUUCCCGGGUCUUGUACACACCGCCCGUCACAUCAUGGAAGCCGACAGCACCCGAAGUAUCUGCGCCAACAUUG